UACGUAGGGGGCGAGCGUUGUCCGGAUUUAUUGGGCGUAAAGAGCGUGUAGGCGGCCAGGUAGGUCUGCUGUGAAAACUCGAGGCUCAACCUCGGGCCUGCAGUGGGUACGGGCAGACUAGAGUGCGGUAGGGGAGAUUGGAAUUCCUGGUGUAGCGGUGGAAUGCGCAGAGUAUCAGGAGGAACACCGAUGGCGAAGGCAGAUCUCUGGGCCGUAACUGACGCUGAGGAGCGAAAGCGUGGGGAGCGAACAGG
rnacentral:rRNA from 1 species